UUAAAAGGAAGACACUAAAACGUACUAAAUAGAAGCUUCUGUAAAGGUAAAACAAACUUUAUAGGACACGUGGGAGUUGCUCGAGACGAAUCAUUUCUGCUAAUUCCAAGCUCAGCCAUAUCCAUUGAAUAUAAGUUGUUCUGAAUGGUAAAAAAGUUAGAAUGGAUAAAACUUCGCAGACUCUCAGAUUUUUUUCAUAAUAUAAGUAACGUGAUUUGGCUGUAUCAAGAAUGAACCAUUCACCAUAUCCAUUUCGUAUCAGUACUAAUUGUAAAUAUUUAUCAAAUAUUUACGAAACUAUUGGAUCCUGCAGGGAUCUAAAAGAUCUUCUGGAAAAGAUUUCUCAAAAACUUCUGGGAGGAGCUUUUAGGUUUUAGCUGUCAGCAACAGGUGAUGGCAAGAAGGAAAACUUGAAACCAUUUUGGAAGCCAGGUAAGUGCUUUGAUCCAAACCCUGUGUUUAUUCUCAAACAAUAUCUAUAAAAAGAUGUUGGAUAUAUUUGUGAGACUGGAACAAAAUUACAAGGAUGAAAUGGACCCAAUCAGAAAAAUCAGGCUUCAGCCUUAACUUUGUGAGGGAGUUCUUUUUUCCCCCCCAAAACAAUUUCUUCAGUUUGAAUGGGAAAAUGAUUGGUUAGUUGAAUCCUAAUUUUCUGUGUAUUCUGAACUGGAGAAAAGGAAUUCAAGGGAGAAAACUUUAAUAAUGCAUACUUAGGGAAAUUUUGAAUUAUAAAUGAGCCAUUCUAAAAAAUAUUUAACCACAGAGAUGUAAAACGUUAAAGAUAUGACUUUUAGAGAACAUUAGGUUUAGAGCCUGGACUGGUGGUGCACGUCUGUAAUCCUAGCACUUGGGAGGCUGAGCCAGGAGGAUCACUGCUAGUUUGAGGCCAGCCUGGGCCACCUAUUGAGUUCAAGUCCAGCCUGAACCACAUAGAGGGACCUUGUCUAACCGCCCCCCCCCAAAACUGAACAAACACCACCCCAAAUUAGGUUUUCUCUGUUCAGUUGGUCUAAAAAAAGCAAAAACUCCAGAAGUGAAGUGAGCCACUUCCCAUCACUUCUACCUUCUUCUAACGGCUGGUCUAGUCCAAGAGACCCGUUUCCUGCCACGUAAGGGGUGCUGGGCCCUACAGCUGACGCGCUCGCUUCUGACUUACACCUUGCCAGGCCGAGUUUACGCUGCGCUUGUUUCUUGCCAUUUCCCCGGGUCGGGUCGUGUCGCUCUCCCUGGACAGAGCUCCGUACUCUGCGGAGGCCGGGCUCCGUUUGGCAGUGAGACCGCCUUGGGGCAGGAGCUUGCUUUGCUUCACUCGGCAAGCAGUGUGGGCCCAGGACUUUCCUCAGGUGGAGGCUCUGUGGAGAAGAACUUCUUCCAGUCGUUUCUGAUUUCCCGAUCGCUCUUUCGGCACCCGGAACCUGGUGGCUGCUCGUGGCUGCUUUUCAAUAAAUCACACCGAUUUGACAACGCUGCUAGCGUAUUGCUCUAACGUCUAGGAAGAGGGUCCAGAGCAAGGUGGUCCCACAGGGGGUUCUGUGAUGAUGAAAAGGAUCCAAUUCGCAAGGUGACUAGCAGCAAAGCCCCUACCACAGGUGGCUCUUGAGCAUUUCAAAUGCAAUUGUGCAGCUGAGAAAUUGAAUUAUUGAUUUCGCUAAACUUUCUAACUCAAAUUUUAAUUGAAAGAGCCGCAAGUGACCAGUGGGCGGCUUCAGUGGGUCCUGCUUUCGUCCUCCUCCCACCGCACUCUGCCCUGUGUCCAGCACAGCCCCCGCUUGCCCUGGGACCACGCUGCCUGGGGCCCCCUGGGGAGAGGCAGCUCGGACAGGACGAGAGUACCCAGGGCUUGAGCAGGAGGCCCCUGAGGUGCCACAGGAUGAGACACAGGAGGAGGACAGAGUAGGAAAUGGUGCAGCUCUCCUCAGCGUCUCUGUUCCAGGCUAUUGAUUUUAUUACAAAGCAUAAGCAAGAAAUAAGUCACUGGGAUGCAGAAGGAUCCGAUGCCCACUCCUUCUUCACUGGCCCAUUAUUCUUCGAAUAUCUACUGUGCUCCAGGCACUGUUGUAAGCAUAACAAAUACAGUGAAGAAAAUAAAGUCCCUGCCUUCAUGGGGCUUAUCUUCUUGUAAGGAAGACAAAAAACAAGCAAAAUAAAUACGGCACAUGUAUCUGCUGUAAAGGAAACUAAGGCGCCCUUCGAGGAUAGAACAACAGAGGUGGUCUUUUAAAUAAGUUAUUCAAAAAUCACACCCACUUGAAGAAACUACUUUUGAAUAAAAACCUAAAUGAACGAAGGAAGCAAGCUGUGUAAACAUCCAAGGGGAAGAGUUUUCCAACCAAAGGGAACAAGUACAGAGUCCCUGAGAUGAAGACAUCCCUGCCAUUUCCAAGAAAUACAAGGGUCUCCUUCGGCUUGGAAUGCAGUAAAACUGAUAAAGAGAAGCAGAGGAGGUAGUUAAAUUCAGACUAUGAGGGUUGUACAGAUUUGGCUGUACUCGGACUUAGGAUUCAUUCUAAGUUUGAUGGGAAUGGCAUUGGAUCAUCACUAUCAAGGUUACAACAUUUGGAUUUUGAAGAGAUCACCGGGUGCUCUCUGGAGAGCAGGUAUCCAUAGGGCCAUGAACUUGGAGCCAGGGAAAGGAUUGCAGUAACACAGGUAGGAAAUGCCGAGGGUCUGGCUGGGGCUCUCAGCAUUGACAUGUUAGUGGCCACGGCAGGGUUUUAAGGGACACAAUGGACUUCUUUCAUCCCUUUCCAUGUGGCUCUGCAGCUGUAUGGGUGACCUCAUUUGGAAAUAAUGUCCAGUCUGGAUUAGAGAGCUUUGUGAUUGUGAGUCCACAGUCAAAGGGACCCUGUGCUUUCUCCUCACGAGAAUCUGGCCACUGCAUUAGCCCUGUGGAAGUGGUUGUGCCUCUGUCUGUCUGUAGAUCAGUGUCUUGCGAGACGUCCAGUGGGGCCAGCAAUUACUGGGUUAAGACACCGGGGACUCCAAUUGCAAUUGCUGUUUCCAGUGAAAAGGUCCUGUGAAUUUUCUUAGUAGUAGCACAAAUCUCUUUUCAUUUAGAUAUGGGUGCAAACUGCCUUUAAGAACUUUUCAUGCCCUCUAUCUCAUAAUGUCUCUUCUUUUGAUGCUUUUAGGAGAAGCAGGAUGGAACAGUCCAACUUUCGGGGGGCAGAGGAGGAGUUCAGUUGUUCCAGGCCUGUUUCCCCACCACCCUGGCAGAUGGUUCAACAGCCAGGUUGCAGUGGCUUGAAGGCAGAAAGAAAGAUUUCUCCCUUAAUCUUUUCAAAAUCGCCAACAAAAGUCAAGUCAAAUUCUUUUAAAAAAGAAAAGAGCAGCUCGUCACUUUUUUGAGAAUCUUCUCUUGAGUCUUCAUGUGGCUCAGGAUUCUGCAUUGUUCUUCUUCCAUAUCUUGAACCUCCAGCACGAAGACUUACAAGACUCUUUUGAAGGAUAUUUGUUGAACAAAAGAGUUAUAUUCCACUCUUGGCGCAUCGCUGUGAAGCUUAAUUACUGUCUGUCCCUCUAUGGGGUUCUUGAUGCCUUCCCCUGGACCAUAGGCCAAACCCAAAUCCUGAUCCUCUGGCUCCGGAUCUGCCCAACUGAAUCCACCAACCUCUUUUGAAGAAGCUGGGCACUAACCGCACAGCCAGGGUAGAGCUCAGUUGCACCAAGUUACAGUUAGGAAGAACACCCAGAGUUAGCAGGAAGCCACGCUGGCAUGCACAGCCAAGGUCAAAUAUCAACGGCACCGAUUUUGAACCUUAAAUUAAAAGGCUGGAGAAGUAUAAGAGAUUAAGGCUGCAGGUUUUAUUAAGCAUCAGAGAGAAGAGGAAGUGGUAGGGAAUGAUUGACAGUGCUUCAAGGAGACAAAAGGUCAGUAUGGUAUAGCAUUGAGAUGUUGCAGACAGGCAGGGGAUGGAGUCCUUGAAUCAAAAGACUCAGAGGUUCACCAAGUAGCUUCCGAAUGCCCUUGCAUAGCAUUCAUAUUUUUAUUCUACAAUGCUCAUCAAAAGAAACUCAUGAGUCCUCAUUCAUCAUUCAACAUAUAUUUAUUAUAAGGUCAUGUGAGCAGUUAUAUCAUUGUUUAAUUCAUUCAUUCAACAAAUUUACUAUUUGGACUAGAAUCUCUAUUUUGUCACUUACUAGUCAUGUGACCUAUACAAAGUAUUUAACCUCCCUGCCCAGUUCUUUAUCAGUUAAGAGAUGAAUAGUAUUUCUGGGAUUUAUCAUAAGGAUUAAAUGAGUACUGUGAACACUAUGAGACACGUACGGAAAUAUCAACACAUUUCCUGGGCCUAUUUACUAAAUAUUGUGAAUUGGACCAUGGACCCAAAAGUUGGGUUGAAGUUCCAAAUGCAUAUUCAUGAACAGAACCAUGUUUUCAAAUAGGAUUCUUACAAAUGUAAUCAAGUUAAAAUGGGUGCAUCAGAGUGCACUUUAACCCCACAUGACUGGUGUUUUUGUAAGAGGAGUGACAGAGGGAAGACUGCCCUGUGGCUGCUGAAGACACCUGGAGAGUGAGAAGUAGAAGAGCAUCCUCCACCAGAGAUGUCAGAGUGAGCCCGACACUGCCAGCACCUUCUCCCAUAACUUCCAGCCUCCAGCACUGUGCAAGAAUUCACUUCUCCUGUGUUAAGCCACCAGUCUGAGGUAAAGACACCCCUGAUUUACCGAGGCUCGCCUUCACAACUGCAUCAAAGUGAUACGCAUUUGACAGAGUCUGUACCUCCAACUUUGAAUUCUGAUGUCCUCCUGGGUCAGUGAUGUGCAGUACAAACUCUCUCCAGAUGAUGAGAAGUGUCAGUGGCCCUGCAUACCUGUCAGCUGUGUGACCACAAGGGGAAACCAUCAGAGGUCGACUUUGCACUGCGCUGCUCAGCAUGAUGCUUGGUAGGUCAAGUGUAUUUAGUGCAUUUCCACUUAGAAUAUUUUCAACUUAUGACCAGUUCAGGGUGCUUGACCCCAUCAUAUAUUAAGAUGUAAUCCCAUUGUGAGUGAAGGAGAAUUUGUACUUUGAUAGAACACCCCUAAGAGACUAAUACCCUGAGUAGCUACUCUGCUUCGGAGACUCUUCCAGUUUCUGAUGAACAAAUGCCAAAGAGUGUGAAUUUUUUCCUAAGGAUUAUGUGAAACCAUGAGGGAAUGUAUAUGAUCGAAUGUUCAUGUGCAUGGACACAGAGAAGAUGUAGUGCAAGAAAAACGCUGCAGGGAGGAAAAGCAGUUAGGAGGUGGCUGUAGUAGUUCAAGGAAAACAAUGACUCGUGGCCUGAGAAGGCAUUGAUAUAGAGAGAAAGUAGGCAUCGAGAAAAUGUUCUGAAGAUGGAAUUCUCAGUUUUGGUGAUAGACAGGGAGAAAAGUAUGAAAGGAGAGGUUUCUGGCCCUAACUGAAUGGCAGUGGAGUCACGUGCAAAGACUGAGAGUGAAGAGGCCUGGGGCCAGAAGAAGAUGCUAAGUGACGCUACACGCGUUGGAGUUGAGAUACUGAAAGACAGAGGAGAGAGCCCUGUAGGCAUCUGGAUGAGUUUGGCGUAUGGGUCAAACAGAUCUGAGCAGGAAGUAUAAAUUUGGGAAUUAGCAUGUCGAUGUCAAGUGGAGCACAUUACAUCAUGAAAUCAUAUAAAGCCAGGGGAUGAGUCUUACCUUGUGAAGCAGCUUCAAUCAUGCAAAAAAAAAAAACCCAACAAAACCUUUUCAUACAUAUCCAUGCACAUUUUUCUGGAGUAGACACAGAGCUUUGUUCAGAUUCUCAAAGGCAUCAAUGACUCAAAAAGAAGCUGAGAACUACCAGCAAAAAGUAUGAGCAGAAAAGUGCCCGAGACCAAACACCAAAGCAUCUAAGUUCUAAGAUCACCUUAAAAAGAGUAUCUUGACAGGCUGACCAAAUAGGUGGAAGAAAACUCUAGACUCCUAAAUCAAGGCAGCGACAAUUUUUAAGCUAUGCAUACUGGCACCAGUAUCAAAGGGCCAAAAACUCAAAAUACGAGGAGUUACUGUGAGCUUCUCAAGGGCAAUUUAAAGUGAACUGGUUUGAGCACAAAUCUUUAGGUUGAUGGGUAAAUGACAGGUGAGAGAGGAGACCCUGAAAUUUUUAUAAAAUAAGAAAAUUUUAUCCUUUAAUUAAUUCCAAGAUUAAUAAACAGGAUUUAUUGUGUGUAUUUCAAGAUGGUAAAUUAACUCUCAUUUGUUCCUAUACCUGUUCUCCCUUUAUUUUUCUUAGAAACCCUGUUUAUUUUCCUGUUAUUUUCUUCUGUUUCUUCACUAAAAGGAAAGUCAAAGGAAAAAAAUCUACAAUGAAAAUUGUUAGGCCGACAGAGAAACUAAAAGUAGUAGGAUUCACAUUGGGUACCAAAAUACAAGCUAGUGAAUUUUAAAAAUAAUGUAUGUAUUAAAAUGUAUUUAUAUAGUGUUGUUGUAUAACACACUUCAUAUUUAUGAGUCAGCACUCAAAUGACAGUUGAGUUCAUUUAUAGAGAGACAAUCAUCAGGCUGGACAGGCAAAAAGAUGUAACUUCAAAGGCUUUGAAGAUUCCGGGCAGGAUCCUGGGUUAUAUCUAAAUCGUGUGUGUAUUUUUAUUAUCAACCAAACGAUUUCAGGGCUGCAUCCUGGUGAACUGAAAAACAAGUUGUUCAAAUUUUUGUAUUUCAAAAGAUGGUUAGGCAUCACAGAAACAAACACAUUGUUAUUGUUAAAGACAACUGUUCUUUUUUUUUUUUUUUAAUAAAACUAUUCUGUAAAGGGAACGAGGAUAAUGCUGGCAAUGUGGUUUACUUUUCUUUAAAGGGACAUCUCUUCUGUGGAGUCUGUUAUGGCAGAAUUGAGAAUGCUUCCUCCCCGCCUCCACAUUUUACGAUCGUAGUUAGUGUAAAUGCUUAGGUCUGCUCACUGUUUUGCAUGUCCAGUUCUCUCUACUACCUGUUAAGGCUUGGGGGAGGCAGGGAGUGUAUGAAAUUCAUCUUUGUAUUCCCCUAUCAAUAACACAAUAACUGGAACAUUAAAGUGCAUCAAAUGAAUGAAUUUUAAUUAUUUACCCCAAUAUAUCUAAGUUCUGGUUCAUGUCUAGAUGUCCUCCCAAACCUCAAGUGCUCAGAGGUGGGGCUUUUUGGAGAUGAGUGGAUCAUGGGGCUUCUAGCUGAAUUACUGUUGGAAGGAGGGGUCUGGACAGAAGAGGCAGUCACUGUGGGCAUGGCCUGGAAGGGUCUGUCUCCCUUCCUGCUCCUCUUCCAUUUCACUUUGCUGCCAUGCCAUAACCCAUUCUCCUUGCCAUGCCAUUUGCCUUGGAGCCAGUCAAUUAUGUACUGAAAUCUGCAAACCAUGAGCCAAAAUAAACCUCUCCUCCUUUGAGUCAUGGUUGUUGGGUAUUGAGUCCCAGUGAUGGGAAAGUAAUUAAGAUAAUCUAUUAAUUGCAUUUUGAGCUUUCAUUUGUGUAAUAAGAAUUGGAAUUUUUCUGUUGCUUCAUUGUUAAAGAUGACUAUUUUUGCAUAAUGCGUUUGGAACAUUAUUAAUAAGACAAUGGAAAAGAAAAUGUCACAAUUCAUUUGAAAUGCAAAGAGCCAAUAAACAGCAGUUAAAUAACAGA